rnacentral:lncRNA from 1 species
AAGAAGUCACUUGGAUGUCUAUCCACUCGUCAGUGACUUGCUUGAUGUUGCAGUAGUGUGACUGGUCCUUUGACCUACGGUGCUUCGGCCACUCACAGUAAGGUUAUUAUAGUUUGACUGCACACAUGCAUGGUCUCUAGCCAUAUGGGUCCAUGCAGUGAAGAUUGGCUGCAGUAGGUUCACUGUAGGAGUAGGGUAUGCACCUAUAAAGAAUCUAUCGAUCUUGAUAGAUAAGGAGAGAUCCUAUGUGAUUUAUAAGACUGAGUUCGUAAGACCUCGGCCGGGGCAGUAUGCAAAGUGGAGAAAGAGUUUUCCACUCUCGAACUUAAGUCGAAUAAAUCUUCACAUACGACAGACGAUGGAGUUUGACGAGUUGUCCAUGACCUCCGUCCUGUAGGAAUCCACGAUAGUAGGACUGUAUUACAUAAUAACUGCACCUAGAGGUUCAUCAUUUCAUUCUGCUGGAUAGCCACUACAUGCUGCUAGGUGUCACUGGUGGAUGGUGAGACUCACAGGGAUUAUCUCAAUGAUCGAUAAACCCUAAUGAGUAGAGUUGGAAUCGUUCCAACCCGUUGAAAGGAAUUUUCAAUGAUAUUGAGAUAGAGAUCACAAUAUAUCUCACUACCAGUCAGAAUAGAACCUAUGGGGUCACACACACUAGAAGUAUUGACCG